GUUUUAGAUAAGAAGUAAAAUAGAAUUUUAUUGAUUCUCAGCUGAUCGAAAUCGAUCGCCAUGUAAACAAAGUCACAUGACCGUCUAGACGUCUGGGAAUUCGUCUGCUAUGUAUUUCUUUGAGAUUUUAGUAUUUUUGCAAGAUCAGUAAACGUGGAAACAUGAAAUUCAAUUAACAAUUUCCUAUUAUAAUAAUGUAUCUAAAUGAUAUGAAUGUGUCGCCCUUGGGUUAUUUUUGCACUAAGCCUGUUUACAAUGUGAUUACGCCAAUUUUGUAUCAAAGCGCUUUACCCCAAACCAUGUUUUGCUUGCCCGAUUAAAAUUUACGUAAUGUACGACGUUCUAACCUAUAGUCCCGCUUUCCUUAAAGUCAUAGCUAAUAAAGCGCCACACCCGGGCAAGCUGUUAACUCUUAAGUAACUCCAAAUUCAUGAAAGUUUAGGCAAUUGCCCGGAUCAACUUGUCCCACCAUUUUUGUUUUGAUUGUUAUGGUUGGCUAAUACAUGUCACGUGACAUAUAAAUUUAUUAUAUAAGGAGCGCCGCUUUCAUAAUAUGGCGAAUAGCUGCCGUGGCGGGUAACUACAAAUUGUAAAAGUGACAACAGUAAUAAUUUUCGUAAAGAAAUAACAACACAGCAGAGGUAUGAAUAUUUAUUGUAAUUUUAAUACCAUUUUGUACUCAGCACAUCAACCCACAGAAUUUAAAUGGAAAAUAAGGAUAAAAACCGGCUGUCAGUUCCUACCUUGUCCAGUUACCCCAGUGUGUUAAUAAUGUAAUCCUGCAGUUAUUCCCCAUCACAUCGACCUUUCUAACCAUAGAUAAUUAACAAGGGACCAUAUAUUAGGAUUUUACUAGGAUAAACUGUUACUUUCGGCCUGACAUAAUUAGUUACAUGGAUGUGCCAAUUGUUGGUAUUUAGAUGUUCCAGUCCCAGUUUGGAUGUGCCAUCACAAUAUUAAAUAUAGAUUUUUCUUACCCUGAUUUAUCCAUGCUUCAUCACCAGGCUUAGUCAAGGGUGACUUAGUUAUAUAAACAAUGUUAGAAGAAUAUAUCUUAUUC
rnacentral:lncRNA from 1 species